rnacentral:rRNA from 1 species
CACGUAGGGAGCAAGCGUUGUCCGGAUUUAUUGGGCGUAAAGAGCUCGUAGGUGGUUCGGUAAGUCGGGUGUGAAAACUCUGGGCUCAACUCAGAGACGCCACCCGAUACUGCUGUGACUCGAGUCUGGUAGGGGAGUGUGGAAUUCCCAGUGUAGCGGUGAAAUGCGCAGAUAUUGGGAGGAACACCAGUGGCGAAGGCGGCACUCUGGGCCAGUACUGACACUGAGGAGCGAAAGCGUGGGUAGCGAACAGA